rnacentral:rRNA from 1 species
AGAAGGGUUUACGGAGGAUGCCUUGGCGUUUUAAGGCGAAGAAGGCCGUGGUAAGCUGCGAGAAGCCUGGGGGAGGAGCACACAUCCAGAGAUCCCAGGAUAGCCGAAUGGGGUAACCCGGCGGUUGAGAGACCGUCAUCCGGCUUCUGAAUACAUAGGGAGCGGAAGCGAUACUAGGGGAACUGAACCAUCUCAGUACCCUGGGAACAGAAAUCAAUACGAGAUUCCGGGAGUAGCGGCGAGCGAAACCGGAGGAGCCUAAACCGUCAGCGAUGGCGGGGUUGUAGGGCCGCUUGGGGGUAACCCGCGGAGUGAAAAAGGUUCAAUAUAGCAGAACGGUUUUGGGAAAGCCGGACAGAGAGGGUGAAAUCCCCGUAUGCGACAUGUUGGACACUCCGUGAAGCGGUACCUGAGUACGGCGAGGCACGAGAAACCUUGUCGGAAUCCGGGUCGACCACGAUCCAAGGCUAAAUACUUAAAACGACCGAUAGCGGAAAAGUACCGUGAGGGAAAGGCGAAAAGAACCCCGGUGAGGGGAGUGAAAGAGAACCUGAAACCGUAAACCCACAACAGGUCAGAGCCGCAGUAAUGUGGUGAUGGCGUGCCUUUUGUAGAAUGAGCCUGCGAGUUACGAUAUAGAGCGAGGUUAAGGUAUGGAAGUACCGGAGCCGGAGGGAAACCGAGUCUGAAGAGGGCGGAUGCAACCGAAAGGUUGUCAGUUAUAUGUCGUAGACCCGAAGCCAAGCGAUCUAGUUAUGUGCAGGCUGAAGCUCAGGUAAAACUGAGUGGAGGGCCGAACCCUAGUCUGUUAAAAAAGGCAGGGAUGACAUGUGACUCGGAGCGAAAGACUAAACAAGCUUGGAAAUAGCUGGCUCUCCCCGAAAUGCCUUGAGGGACAGCCUCAUCCAAAAGUAAUGAAGGUAGAGCACUGGAUGGACUAGGGGGCUUCACCGCCUACCAAACCCAAUCAAACUCCGAAUGUCAUUAUUCAACGGAUGGGAGUGAGACUGCGGGCGACAAGGUUCGUAGUCGAGAGGGAAACAGCCCAGACCGUCAGCUAAGGUCCCGAAAUACCGCUGAGUGUAAAAUGAUGUGUGAUGGCGAAGACAGCCAGGAGGUUGGCUUAGAAGCAGCCAUUCCUUAAAAGAGUGCGUAAUAGCUCACUGGUCGAGUCAUGAUGCGCAGACAAUGUAACGGGGCUAAGCGGUAUACCGAAGCUACGGGUUCGUGCAGCAAUGCAUGGACGGUAGGGGAGCAUUCCAUGGACCGAAGAAGGUGUACCGGGAGGUAUGCUGGAGGGGAUGGAAGAGAGAAUGCAGGUAUAAGUAUACGAAAAGAGGGGUGAGAUCCCCCUCCGCCGAAAGCCUAAGGAUUCCUGGGUAAAGGUCAUCUGCCCAGGGUAAGUCGGCCCCUAAGACGAGGACGAAAGUCGUAGCCGAUGGGAAACGGGUUCAGAUUCCCGUACCUUAGUACAUUUUUAUGGGGUGACGCAUGAGGUGAAACCCGGCCGGGCGACGGUUGUCCCGGUCGAAGUGGCGAGCUGUUGAGGGGUAUAGGAAAAUCCGUAUCCUGAAGUGAGCCAUGACAGCGAGUGGAGCUACGGCAAAGCGAAGCGGGCGUAAUCAGGGUGCCAAGAAAGAACCUCUAAAGCUAGGUGUAUUAAGACCGUACCGUAAACCGACACAGGUAGGCGGGAUGAGCAAUCUCAGGCGCUCGAGAGAACUCGCGUUAAGGAACUCGGCAACAUGCAUACGUAACUUCGGGAGAAGUAUGACCACUGACAGGUUAGCAAUAGGUUGUUGGUGGUGGCACAAAGCAGUCCCAGGCGACUGUUUACCAAAAACACAGGCCUCUGCGAAUCAGCAAUGAGACGUAUAGGGGCUGACACCUGCCCGGUGCCGGAAGGUUAAGGGGAGCGGUUCGAGAGUGCUUGCACUCUCAAAGCUGUGAACUGAAGCCCCGGUAAACGGCGGCCGUAACUAUAACGGUCCUAAGGUAGCGAAAUUCCUUGUCGGGUAAGUUCCGACCCGCACGAAAGGUGUAACGAUCUGGGAGCUGUCUCAACGCGAGACUCGGUGAAAUUUAUGUACCGGUAAAGAAGCCGGUUACCCGUGGUUAGACGGAAAGACCCCGUGAACCUUCACUGUAACUUAUCAUGGGGACUUGAUGCGGCAUGUGUAGGAUAGGUGGGAGACUAUGAAGCAUGGGCGUUAGCUUGUGUGGAGUCGCCGGUGAAAUACCACCCUUGUUGGAUUAGGUUUCUAACCUGGGCCAUGAAGCUGGUCUGGGGACAAUGAUAGGCGGGCAGUUUGACUGGGGCGGUCGCCUCCCAAAGAGUAACGGAGGUGCGCGAAGGUCUCCUCGCCUUGGUUGGAAAUCAAGGUAUGAGUGUAAAGGCACAAGGAGGCUUGACUGCGAGACUGACAGGUCGAGCAGGUACGAAAGUAGGUCUUAGUGAUCUGGCGGUCGCGAGUGGAAGCGCCGUCACUUAACGGAUAAAAGGUACUCCGGGGAUAACAGGCUGAUCUUCCCCAAGAGUUCACAUCGACGGGAAGGUUUGGCACCUCGAUGUCGGCUCAUCGCAUCCUGGGGCUGAAGCAGGUCCCAAGGGUUUGGCUGUUCGCCAAUUAAAGCGGUACGUGAGCUGGGUUCAGAACGUCGCGAGACAGUUCGGUCCCUAUCUGCCAUGGGCGUUGGAAAGUUGAGAGGAGCUGUUUUUAGUACGAGAGGACCGAAAUGGACGAACCUCUGGUGUACCGGUUGUCCUGCCAAGGGCACGUGCCGGGUAGCUACGUUCGGAAGGGAUAACCGCUGAAGGCAUCUAAGUGGGAAGCCCACCUCAAGAUUAACUUUCCCUGGGGAUUUAAUCCCCCUGAAGGUACCAGGAAGACUACCUGGUCGAUAGGGUGGCGGUCCAAGCACGGUAACGUGUUCAGCCGACCACUACUAAUCUACCGUGAGGCUUGACCA